rnacentral:rRNA from 1 species
CGACGGCAGCACGGGUGCUUGCACCUGGUGGCGAGUGGCGAACGGGUGAGUAAUACAUCGGAACAUGUCCAGUAGUGGGGGAUAGCCCGGCGAAAGCCGGAUUAAUACCGCAUACGCUCUGUGGAGGAAAGCGGGGGAUCGAAAGACCUCGCGCUAUUGGGGUGGCCGAUGGCAGAUUAGGUAGUUGGUGGGGUAAAGGCCUACCAAGCCGACGAUCUGUAGCUGGUCUGAGAGGACGACCAGCCACACUGGGACUGAGACACGGCCCAGACUCCUACGGGAGGCAGCAGUGGGGAAUUUUGGACAAUGGGGGCAACCCUGAUCCAGCAAUGCCGCGUGUGUGAAGAAGGCCUUCGGGUUGUAAAGCACUUUUGUCCGGAAAGAAAUCCUGUGGGCUAAUACCCUGCGGGGAUGACGGUACCGGAAGAAUAAGCACCGGCUAACUACGUGCCAGCAGCCGCGGUAAUACGUAGGGUGCGAGCGUUAAUCGGAAUUACUGGGCGUAAAGCGUGCGCAGGCGGUGAUGUAAGACCGAUGUGAAAUCCCCGGGCUCAACCUGGGAACUGCAUUGGUGACUGCAUUGCUCGAGUAUGGCAGAGGGGGGUGGAAUUCCACGUGUAGCAGUGAAAUGCGUAGAGAUGUGGAGGAACACCGAUGGCGAAGGCAGCCCCCUGGGCCAAUACUGACGCUCAUGCACGAAAGCGUGGGGAGCAAACAGGAUUUAGAUACCCUGGUAGUCCACGCCCUAAACGAUGUCCAACU